UUGACCUCAAAUCGGGGAGACUACCCGC
rnacentral:rRNA from 1 species